CCAGCAGCCAUUUGGUCACAGUGCAACCAGAUUCCAGCAGCCAUUUGGUCACAGUGCAACCAGAUUCCAGCAGACAUUUUGUCACAGUGCAACCAGAUUCCGGCAGCCAUUUUUGUCACAGUAACUGGAAGCCGAUGAACAGAGUGUGUAUUCCUUUCCUUAGAAGGGGAUGAAAGAGGUCAUUUGUGUUGAAUAUCAAGUAUCUAACCCAUCCUAGGAAAGGAUGUUACAAUGAUUCUUGAGACAGAGAGAAUGCAGGUACUAGGCUACUACAAGGUGUGAUGCCCUAUUGUGGACUAAACACCACACGCUGGGGGAUCAUAUUGAUGACUAAACACUUCAAUGAGGAGUGUGGAAAAUACCUCUGAAAUCUAAAAGACACGUGGAUGUUUUCCAGUAGGAUAAAGAUUACAGAGGAGUCACCAAGAGGAAGGGAAGAUGAUCUCACAAUAGAGAAGAAAAGGGCAGCAAAGACUUGGGAUCUAAAAUAGCCUGGACAUCACCUGUGUGAGAGUGGAGUAAGGCUUGUGGCAGAAGCCAAGAACAGAAACCACAAUGGGACUUUUGCCCAAAACCAGACAGCUUGAUUUUCACAUUAGGAACAACAACAGAGACUUAAAAGGAGGUAGAACACGAUCAGAUUGGCAUGUGAGAAACAUCUCCCUGGCUGUUCUACACGGAGUGCAUCAAGACAUGAAAAUCCCUGGGCACAUAGUGCUGGGAACUCGGGAAGGAGCCUGCAGCAGCUACUCAGGGAGAGAGGGAAAGCUGCCUUGGACUAACACAACAGCAAUGGGCUGGAUAGAAGUAGCAGGAGGCAGUUUUACAACCGCACCUGUGGCUUAGGAUGCACAAGGAGAAGCGAAGUUGGGGGGGGGGUAACGCUGUGCAUAAAAUGUGCUUCUAGGUAGCCCAGGUUGAGAGGCUCCAGCAUGUUCAACUGUGGGCUUUUCCCUUUCUUGUUCCUCCUGGUCUCGUAUGCCAUCAUUGUUGCUUCGGGUCCCCUUUCUCCAGGGCACUGCUCUUUGAACAUUUGUCAUCCAUCUGCCAUCUCCAACCCUACCCGAGGAUCUGAGCUCUCCCUUCCCCUUCCAUUGACCUCACCACAUUACUUGUCCCUGACCCUUAGACAUUCAACUCCCCAGGGCUUUUUGAAGGAUAGAUAGGGGCAAAGCCACAUGUUGCUCCAGGGUCCCUUUGAAGACCUCACUUCUAGAGUGAGUCAAACUCCCUUGACUUAUUCUCCUAACAGGUCCAUCAUCCACUCAUGAAAUAAUUUCAUAUAUGCAUGAACCUGCAAAGAACAAAUACUGGCUCUCAGAGCUACUCAGGCUAUAAAACGAGAAAAAAGAUCAACAUUUUCCUGUCUUAUCAUUGGACGAGAACAGGCCUGAGUCUGGGCUGUAACCUCUUCAUGGUCACUUUGAAGAUAAUGACUGCUUCAUCUAAGUACUAAGAAAUCAGGUCCUAAAGACUCAGUUUCAUUCUUUACAGUCUUGCUCCCCUUCUGCUUCUGCCUGCAUAAGAACAUAUAAGCAGUGUUUUAUAUUUCAGAUGCAUCUAUACUUUGUGUUCUUCUACCCAAAUGACAGAAAGUGUUCAAAAUAAAGUCUUGGCUCUAA